AAAGUCGUAACAAGGUUUCCGUAGGUGAACCUGCGGAAGGAUCAUUCAUAAAUUAGAGUCCCUUCUUGGGUCCCGCAAGGGAGCCAUGAAGGGAAUCAUUAAAGUACCAACAUGACAUGUUUUUGAAAGUGAGUUGAGGGAAAGUAUUGAGGGAACUUUUUUGAAUUGUUCCCUUUCAAAAUCCAACUUCUCCCUUUCAAGAACUAGAAACCAAAAAAAAGUAAUACUUUGAACUUCUCUGUUUAAUCAGUACAACUUUUAACAAUGGAUCUCUGGGCUCUC
rnacentral:misc_RNA from 1 species